UACGGAGGGUGCAAGCGUUAUCCGGAUUCACUGGGUUUAAAGGGUGCGUAGGUGGGUUUGUAAGUCAGUGGUGAAAUCUCCAAGCUUAACUUGGAAACUGCCGUUGAUACUAUAAAUCUUGAAUGUUGUGGAGGUGAGCGGAAUAUGUCAUGUAGCGGUGAAAUGCUUAGAUAUGACAUAGAACACCAAUUGCGAAGGCAGCUCGUUACACGAAUAUUGACUCUGAGGCACGAAAGCGUGGGGAUCAAACAGG
rnacentral:rRNA from 1 species